UUUUUUAGGGAAAAUCUGGCCUUUCCGCAGGGACAGGCCAGGGAACUUCCUU
rfam:HIV-1 clone TZBFL0088 from Tanzania, partial genome.